rnacentral:sRNA from 1 species
GAAAUUGCGUCGAUAGUCGAGCGGCCCUCUC